GAUGAACGCUGGCGGUAUGCUUAACACAUGCAAGUCGAACGGUCUCUUCGGAGCUAGUGGCGGACGGGUGAGGAACGCGUGAGAACCUGCCUCUAAGUCGGGGACAACAGUUGGAAACGACUGCUAAUACCGGAUGAGCCGAAAGGUAAAAGAUUUAUCGCUUAGAGAGGGGCUCGCGUCUGAUUAGCUAGAUGGUGGUGUAAAGGACCACCAUGGCGACGAUCAGUAGCUGGUCUGAGACGAUGAGCAGCCACAGUGGGACUGCGACACGGCCCAGACUCCUACGGGAGGACGCGGUAGGGAAUUUUCCACCAUGGGCGAGAGCCUGAUGGGGCAACGCCGCGUGCAGGAUGAAUGCCUUCGGGUUGUAAACUGCUUUUAUGUGCGAAGAAUUUGACUGUAACACAUGAACAAGGAUCGGCUAACUACGUGCCAGCAGCCGCCGUAAGAC
rnacentral:rRNA from 1 species